rfam:Bordetella genomosp. 9 strain AT17164, complete genome.
CCGCUAUCCGCCAACCGGUUGAGCCGUGUCGCGGAAGGUUUUCCUGCAUCGCAACGGGUGAAGCACCCGGUAAGGUGAAGCG